CUUCAUAUGAUUAGAAUUGACGUCAACUAAUGUAAUACGGUAUGUUUUUAAUCGCAGGUCUGCAGGUGAAGGUGUCUUCUGCCACGGUGACAGAAGGAAAGGCAGUGUUACUGACCUGUAGAACCACCUGUACUCUGACUGACAACCCCAACCCCACCUACAUCUGGUACAAGAAUGGACAACUCGUAAACAACCAAAAUAACUACCUGUUCCUAGACCCAGUCAGCGGAGAGGAUGCAGUUAGAUACUCCUGUACUGCAUAGGUAUACGAGAAUCUCCACUCUCCUGAAGAGACUCAUUUCAGUGUUUCCCUGGGUUCCUGUGGUGGGGGCUGUCCUGACUGCUGGAGCUCUUCUAGUCACCAUCUGCUGCACUCUGAAGAGGAGAUCCACAGGAGGAAGUGAUGCCACAGAAGACACACGGUGACACGUACACAGGUCUGAACAUGAGGACCAGGUCACCUGACUACGACACUCUGGCAAGUGUGAGGGACUCCCCCAGUGACACAGCCCCUCAAAAAGACUCAGUCCUCUGAUUAUGAAAACUGGCGAAAACCAACACAGAACCUGGACUGAAGAGAACCACCACAGAACAUGGACUGAAGAGCUAUGGCACCAAAACCAAAGCUAGGCCUUACACCUCUGUUCUCUUAACAAUCAUAUUGCUACCACAUCUAGAAGUUUUCCAGACCAUGAACUUCAACUUUUGAGUGAAUGCUGUAUUUGAAUGAUCUGUCCUUGUUAUGAUAGUAAUCUACAGUAUAUUUACAGCUUUGCUUUAUCUUGGCAAGGUCGCAGUUAUACAUGAGAACUUGCUCUCAACUGGCUUACCUGUUUAAAUAAAGGUUAAAUAGAAAAAAUAAAAAUAUUUUUUUACACUU